GUGCAAAGAAGCCAAAGGCAAAAAAAACAAGAGGAGAGAAACUCUCCAGGAUCAACAGUUGACAUAUGGUUGAAACCUAUCAGAGCUACGGAGACGUGGCCGGCCGAACCACCGAACAACCAGGAAUCUGCCGAGCCCGUUAACAAUGCAACCAGCAGACGAGUGCAGACAAAGCAUCAGGGUAACCCAAACUUGGCUCCGGCCAGCCAAAACAAAUGACUCAAAAAUCAGCACGGCAGCCACACCUUCAGCUCUUCCGCGGUUGACACUGCACCGAGCCUGGAGAAAGCUGUGAGCAAAAACACGAAGGCGGAUGUGCACUUUAGGGUGGUGAAUAGGGCUGCAAACACACCCAGUGCCAGGUGGCUACGGGCUGCAAAAACAUUGUUGCAAUAAUUUCUCUGUCUCUCAUUAAUACCAGCAGUAAGGAUUUUGGAAAUUGGGAGCUAACAUUGAUGAUGGAUGUUUUGCCCCUGAGUGCCGACCCUUUGAGUGACUUGAAAAGACUGAUAAAUGUACAAAGUCUAUGCUGGUGGUGGUCAGAAAUUGGGUUUUUCUAACAGGAAAUGGUAGCACUGCCCACGGGGGCUUAGGCAUGGGGCUCACGGCGUGCAGAUAACGGGUUUGAACACACAAGGGUCUGCGCAGACUUGCAGAGGGGGUGCUCAGUGGCAGCAGGUGGAAUGAGCGUUUGGAUUUGCAGGGUUUGGGGGACAAACAGGCGCCUGCCGAAACUAUGGGUGUGAGUCACU